GUGGGGAAUAUUGGACAAUGGGCGAAAGCCUGAUCCAGCCAUGCCGCGAGAGUGAUGAAGGCCUUAGGGUUGUAAAGCUCUUUCAGUAGGGAAGAUAAUGACGGUACCUACAGAAGAAGCCCCGGCUAACUUCGUGCCAGCAGCCGCGGUAAUACGAAGGGGGCUAGCGUUGGUUGGAUUUACUGGGCUUUAAGCGCACGUAGGCGGAUUGGUCAGUUAGAGGUGAAAUCCUGGAGCUCAACUCCAGAGCUGCCUUUAAUACUGCCAGUCUAGAGUCCAGAAGAGGUGAGUGGAACUCCUAGUGUAGAGGUGGAAUUCGUAGAUAUUAGGAAGAACACCAGUGGCGAAGGCGGCUCACUGGUCUGGUACUGACGCUGAGGUGCGAAAGCGUGGGGAGCAAACAGGAUUAGAUACCCUAGUAGUCC
rnacentral:rRNA from 1 species